rnacentral:rRNA from 1 species
GAAUUCUCUAGUGAUUCAGGCGUAACACAUGCAAGUCGAACGGCAGCACGGACUUCGGUCUGGUGGUGAGUGGCGAUCGGGUGAGUAAUAUAUCGGUACAUACCCAGUAGUGGGGGAUAACUAUCCGAAAAGAUAGCUAAUCCCGCAUACGAUCUGUGGAUGAAAGCAGGGGAUCUUCGGGCCUUGUGCUAUUGGAAUGCCCGAUAUCUGAUUAUCUAGUUGGUAGGGUAAAAGCCUACCAAGGCGACGACCAGUACCUGGUCUGAGAGGACGACCAUCCACACUGGAAUUGAGACACGGUCCAGACUCUUUCGGGAGGCAGCAGUGGGGAAUUUUGUCCAAUGGGGGCAACCCUGAUCCU